rnacentral:rRNA from 1 species
UGCAAGUCGAACGGCAGCACGGGGGCAACCCUGGUGGCGAGUGGCGAACGGGUGAGUAAUACAUCGGAACGUGUCCUGUAGUGGGGGAUAGCCCGGCGAAAGCCGGAUUAAUACCGCAUACGCUCUACGGAGGAAAGGGGGGAUCUUAGGACCUCCCGCUACAGGGGCGGCCGAUGGCAGAUUAGCUAGUUGGUGGGGUAAAGGCCUACCAAGGCGACGAUCUGUAGCUGGUCUGAGAGGACGACCAGCCACACUGGGACUGAGACACGGCCCAGACUCCUACGGGAGGCAGCAGUGGGGAAUUUUGGACAAUGGGGGAAACCCUGAUCCAGCAAUGCCGCGUGUGUGAAGAAGGCCUUCGGGUUGUAAAGCACUUUUGUCCGGAAAGAAAUCCUUUGAGCUAAUACCUCGGGGGGAUGACGGUACCGGAAGAAUAAGCACCGGCUAACUACGUGCCAGCAGCCGCGGUAAUACGUAGGGUGCAAGCGUUAAUCGGAAUUACUGGGCGUAAAGCGUGCGCAGGCGGUCCGCUAGGACAGAUGUGAAAUCCCCGGGCUUAACCUGGGAACUGCAUUUGUGACUGGCGGGCUAGAGUAUGGCAGAGGGGGGUAGAAUUCCACGUGUAGCAGUGAAAUGCGUAGAGAUCGGGAGGAACACCAGUGGCGANGGCGGCUACCUGGACCAGCACUGACACUGAGGCACGAAAG